AGGCUAGCUUUCAACAUGGGAACCGAGGACUCCAAAGGCUCGCUAAAUAACAUGAAUUGGAAGACAUUAGGAGGUGAUGGGACUAGCAGCUCAAGCGAAUCGGUCGUGAAAAAGCGACUCCCCAAGAAAAUGAGACAAGUGCCUGAUUACUAUUUUCUUCCCCGACGAUCGUUAAUAUCUGCAAUUGCGUUAUAUGGUUCCAUCAUGGCCGCUGGAGUUGGUGCUGGAAUGUUAGUGGAGAUAUGGAUAAACAA
rnacentral:misc_RNA from 1 species